ACAUACGACCAUAGGGUGUGGAAAACAGGGCUUCCCGUCCGCUCAGCCGUACUUAAGCCACACGCCGGUGAGUUAGUAGUUAGGUGGGUGACCACUAGCGAAUCCUCACUGUUGUAUGUU
rnacentral:rRNA from 1 species